rnacentral:rRNA from 1 species
AUUGAACGCUGGCGGCAGGCCUAACACAUGCAAGUCGAGCGGAGCGGCGGACGGGUGCGUAAUGCCUAGGAAUCGGCCUGGUAGCGGGGGAUAACGUCAGGUACUGGGAGCUAAUACCGAUUCCUAUCAGCUGAGCAUAGGUCGGAUUAGCUAGUGGGGGGGGUAAAGGCCUACCCAGGCGACGAUCCGUAACUGGGCUGAGUGGAUGAUCAGUCACACUGGAACUGAGACACGGUCCAGACUCCUACGGGAGGCAGCAGUGGGGAAUAUGGGACAAUGGGCGAAAGCCUGAUCCAGCCAUGCCGCGUGUAUGAAGAAGGCCUUCGGAUUGUAAAGCACUUUAAGUUGGGAGGCGUUACCAGCAGAAUAAGCACCGGCUAACUCCGUGCCAGCAGCCGCGGUAAUUC